CGAAGUGUCGCCCAGAGGUAGGGAGCAAGAAAUUCUGUAUCUUGAAAAGCGCAGGUUCGAAUCCUGCCACUUCGA
rnacentral:tRNA from 1 species